CCUACGGGUGGCAGCAGUGAGGAAUAUUGGUCAAUGGGCGGGAGCCUGAACCAGCCAAGCCGCGUGAGGGAAGAAGGUCCAGCGUAUCGUAAACCUCUUUUGUCAGGGAACAAAGGCGGGGACUAGUCCCCGGAUGAGUGUACCUGAAGAAAAAGCAUCGGCUAACUCCGUGCCAGUAGCCGCGGUAAUACGGGGGAUGGGAGCGUUAUCCGGAUUUAUUGGGUUUAAAGGGUGCGCAGGGGGCCUGUUAAGUCAGCGGUAAAAGCUCGGGGCUAAACCCCGGCGAGCCGUUGAUACUGGUGGGCUGGAGUUGGAGAGAGGUAGGCGGAAUGCGCGGUGUAGCGGUGAAAUGCUUAGAUAUCGCGCAGAACCCCGAUUGCGAAGGCAGCGUACCGGCUCCACACUGACGCUGAGGCACGAAAGCGUGGGUAUCGAACAGGAUUAGAUACCCGGGUAGUC
rnacentral:rRNA from 1 species